rnacentral:rRNA from 1 species
UAAGCAUAUCAAUAAGCGGAGGAAAAGAAACCAACAGGGAUUGCCCUAGUAACGGCGAGUGAAGCGGCAACAGCUCAAAUUUGAAAUCUGGCGCAAGCCCGAGUUGUAAUUUGUAGAGGAUGCUUCUAGGUAGCGACCGGUCUAAGUUCCUUGGAACAGGACGUCAUAGAGGGUGAGAAUCCCGUAUGUGACUGGCCCGCACCUUCUACGUAGCUCCUUCGACGAGUCGAGUUGUUUGGGAAUGCAGCUCUAAAUGGGAGGUAAAUUUCUUCUAAAGCUAAAUACCGGCCAGAGACCGAUAGCGCACAAGUAGAGUGAUCGAAAGAUGAAAAGCACUUUGGAAAGAGAGUUAAAAAGCACGUGAAAUUGUUGAAAGGGAAGCGCUCACAACCAGACUUCUGGGCGGUGUUCCGCCGGUCUUCUGACCGGUCUACUCACCGUCCCGAGGCCAACAUCAUCUGGGACCGCCGGAUAAGACCUCAGGAAUGUAGCUCCCCUCGGGGAGUGUUAUAGCCUGUGGUGAUGCGGCGCGUCUCGGGUGAGGUCCGCGCUUCGGCAAGGAUGUUGGCGUAAUGGUUGUCAGCGGCCCGUCUUGAAACACGGACCAAGGAGUCUAACAUCUAUGCGAGUGUUCGGGUGUCAAACCCCUACGCGUAAUGAAAGUGAACGGAGGUGGGAAGGGUAACCUGCACCAUCGACCGAUCCUGAUGUCCUCGGAUGGAUUUGAGUAAGAGCAUAGCUGUUGGGACCCGAAAGAUGGUGAACUAUGCCUGAAUAGGGUGAAGCCAGAGGAAACUCUGGUGGAGGCUCGCAGCGGUUCUGACGUGCAAAUCGAUCGUCAAAUUUGGGUAUAGGGGCGAAAGACUAAUCGAACCAUCUAGUAGCUGGGUCCU